rnacentral:piRNA from 1 species
UCUUUCUCUGAGUCGAGAAAU